ACCUGGCUGACGAGUCCCAAAUAGGACGAAACGCGCGUCCUGGAU
rnacentral:hammerhead_ribozyme from 1 species